rnacentral:tRNA from 2 species
GCCCCAGUAGCUCAAUGGACAGAGCAGUAGCCUUCUAAGCUAACGGUUGUGGGUUCGAAUCCCGCCUGGGGCG